GGAUGACAACUGAAAUUUCUACUUCAGUUUUCUUCCCUGUGUUUCCUGGAAAUCAGGAGCAGCUCUUGGGAAGAAGGGGGCCACCCCUCGCCCAGUGAGGACCACCAGGCCAACCUUGCAGAGCACGAAGAAGGAAGCAGAUCCAGUGUGGGGCCUUCUUCGCUUGAGUAGCUGACAGACAUUCCACUGCCAAGUAAUGGAGAAUCUGGCACAAUCCCUGAAGAGCCUCAGCCAACUGGAACUUUGGAAGCCACAGCUUUCUUCUGAGCUCCCCCUCAAGAUGUGUAUAGUCAUUGUGCUUGUUUUGCUUCCUCCCUGUUCUUGUUUAAAAGCCAGAUUUCUCCCUGGACAGACAGCAAAAUCUCAAUCCUCUGGGGUUGCUAUAAGGGCAGAGAGGAACAGGGAGAACAAGCUUGGGGAGGUCAGGGCGGUAUCGGGUAACCUUUCCUGAAGUAGAUCUUUAGAGUAUCCAAGCCACUGUGUUCUUUUGGACUGUCUUCAAGCAAGCGUUUCCCACAGUGCCAAACCUCAGGAUAUCAAAGAACCACUCACAAAAUAUUCUCUCUCUCAGAAGAAGCAGAAUGAUUUUGCGAAGAGGACAUUUCUGCCAACACAUAUCACAUAGACUGAGACAGUAAAAAAAAAAAAAAAAGAUUAAAAAAAGGCCUAAAGAGAAUGAGAGUGAGUUUUCAGUGGAAUGAACACAGUCAAUCCCCUUCUAAGAGUUCCUGUGAUCGGCCAACCUAAGCUACUUUGGUGGAUGCCACCUCCUCUGUGUCUCUCAAAAAUAACUAAAACAAUGGGAAACGUUGUACCUCAGUGACCAUAACUGGCCACACCUGGGUAGCCAUCAACAUCCAUAAUCAUGCA